rnacentral:rRNA from 1 species
AAUGAACGCUGGCGGCAGGCCUAACACAUGCAAGUCGAGCGGAUGAGGAGAGCUUGCUCUCUGAUUUAGCGGCGGACGGGUGAGUAAUGCCUAGGAAUCUGCCUGGUAGUGGGGGAUAACGUUCCGAAAGGAACGCUAAUACCGCAUACGUCCUACGGGAGAAAGCAGGGGACCUUCGGGCCUUGCGCUAUCAGAUGAGCCUAGGUCGGAGUAGCUAGUUGGUGAGGUAAUGGCUCACCAAGGCGACGAUCCGUAACUGGUCUGAGAGGAUGAUCAGUCACACUGGAACUGAGACACGGUCCAGACUCCUACGGGAGGCAGCAGUGGGGAAUAUUGGACAAUGGGCGAAAGCCUGAUCCAGCCAUGCCGCGUGUGUGAAGAAGGUCUUCGGAUUGUAAAGCACUUUAAGUUGGGAGGAAGGGUUGUAGAUUAAUACUCUGCAAUUUUGACGUUACCAACAGAAUAAGCACCGGCUAACUUCGUGCCAGCCGCCGCCGUAAAAC